UGGCGGCGUGCCUAAUACAUGCAAGUCGAACGAGGCCCUUUGUAUUCGUAUGAAGGUGUCCUAGUGGCGAACGGGUGAGUAACACGUAGGUGACCUACCCCGAAGCGGGGGACAACUCCGGGAAACUGGAGCUAAUACCCCGUGUUCUCCAUGGUGUUAGUGGACCAUGGAGCAAAGGAGCAAUCCACUUUGGGAGGGGCCUGCGGCCCAUCAGCUAGUUGGUAGGGUAAUGGCCUACCCAGGCUAUGACGGGUAGGGGACCUGAGAGGGUGGUCCCCCACACUGGAUCUGAAACACGGACCGGACACCUACGGGUGGCAGCAGUAGGGAAUAUUGCACAAUGGGCGGAAAGCCUGAUGCAGCAACGCCGCGUGCGCGAUGAAGGCCUUCGGGUUGUAAAGCGCUUUUCUGGGGGAAGAGGAAGGACGGUACCCCAGGAAUAAGUCUCGGCUAACUACGUGCCAGCAGCCGCGGUAAAACGUAGGAGGCGAGCGUUAUCCGGAUUUACUGGGCGUAAAGCGCGUGUAGGCGGUUAGGUAAGUCGGACGUGAAAGCUCCCGGCUCAACUGGGAGAGGCCGUUCGAAACUACCUGACUUGAGGGCAGUAGAGGGAGGUGGAAUUCCGGGUGUAGCGGUGAAAUGCGUAGAUAUCCAGAGGAACACCAGUGGCGAAGGCGGCCUCCUGGGCUGACCCUGACGCUCAGACGCGAAAGCUAGGGUAGCAAACGGGAUUAGACACCCCGGUAGUCCUAGCUGUAAACGAUGCAGACUUGGUGUUGGCAGUUUAAACACUGUCAGUGCCGUAGCUAACGCGAUAAGUCUGCCGCCUGGGGACUACGACCGCAAUGUUAAAACUCAAAGGAAUUGACGGGGGCCCGCACAAGCAGCGGAGCGUGUGGUUUAAUUCGAGGCUACGCGAAGAACCUUACCUGGGUUUGACAUGUACGUAGUAGGAAUCCGAAAGGUGACCGACCCCUCGGGGAGCGUACACAGGUGCUGCAUGGCUGUCGUCAGCUCGUGCCGUGAGGUGUCCGGUUAAGUCCGGUAACGAGCGCAACCCUUGCUCUGUGUUAUAUGUGUCACAGAGGACUGCCGGAUAAGCCGGAGGAGGUGGGGAUGACGUCAAGUCAGCAUGGCCUUUAUA
rnacentral:rRNA from 1 species